CAAGUCUGGUGCCAGCAGCCGCGGUAAUUCCAGCUCCAAUAGCGUAUAUUAAAGUUGUUGCAGUUAAAAAGCUCGUAGUUGGAUUUCUGUUAAUAAUUUAUAUAUAAUAUUUAACAUAUUUAUAUAAUAUUAACAUAAUUCAUAUUACUAUUUAUAGUAUAUGAAACUUUACUUUGAGAAAAUUAGAGUGCUUAAAGCAGGCUUUUGCCUUGAAUACUAGAGCAUGGAAUAAUAUUAAAGAUUUUUAUCUUUCUUAUUGGUUCUAAGAUAGAAAUAAUGAUUAAUAGGGACAGUUGGGGGCAUUUGUAUUUAACAGUUAGAGGUGAAAUUCUUAGAUUUGUUAAAGACAAACUAAUGCGAAAGCAUUUGCCAAGGAUGUUUUCAUUAAUCAAGAACGAAAGUUAGGGGAUCGAAGACGAUCAGAUACCGUCGUAGUCUUAACCAUAAACUAUGCCAACUAGAGAUUGGAGGUUGUUCCUUA
rnacentral:rRNA from 1 species